GACGAACGCUGGCGGCGUGCUUAACACAUGCAAGUCGAACGGAGAGGCCCUGCUUGCAGGGUACUCGAGUGGCGAACGGGUGAGUAACACGUGGGUGAUCUGCCCUGCACUUCGGGAUAAGCCUGGGAAACUGGGUCUAAUACCGGAUAUGACCUUCCAUGUAGUGUGGGGGGUGGAAAGAUUUAUCGGUGUGGGAUGAGCCCGCGGCCUAUCAGCUUGUUGGUGGGGUAAUGGCCUACCAAGGCGUCGACGGGUAGCCGGCCUGAGAGGGUGGACGGCCACAUUGGGACUGAGAUACGGCCCAGACUCCUACGGGAGGCAGCAGUGGGGAAUAUUGCACAAUGGGCGGAAGCCUUAUGCAGCGACGCCGCGUGGGGGAUGACGGCCUUCGGGUUGUAAACCUCUUUCGACAGGGACGAAGCUUCGGUGACGGUACCUGUAGAAGAAGCACCGGCUAACUACGUG
rnacentral:rRNA from 1 species